rnacentral:rRNA from 1 species
GACGAACGCUGGCGGCGUGCCUAAUACAUGCAAGUCGAACGCAGUGGGGACGGGUGAGUAACACGUGGGUAACCUCCCAUCAGAGGGGAUAACACUUGGAAACAGGUGCUAAACCGAUACUGAUGGAUGGACCCGCGGUGCAUGAGCUGGUUGGUGAGGUAACGGCGCACCAAGGCCACGAUGCAUAGCCGGCCUGAGAGGGUGAUCGGCCACACUGGGACUGAGACACGGCCCAGACGCCUACGGGAGGCAGCAGGAGGGAAUGUUCGGCAAUGGACGAAAGUCGGACCGAGCAACGCCGCGGGAGUGAAGAAGGUUUUAGGGUCGUAAAACUCUGUUGUUAGAGAAGCGGUAUCUAACCAGGAAGCCACGGCUAACUACGUGCCAGCAGCCGCGGGAAUAC